rnacentral:rRNA from 1 species
UACGUAGGUGGCAAGCGAUACUCGGAAUCACUAGGCGUAAAGCGCAGGUAGGCGGUUCGGUAAGUCUUUUGUGAAAGCUCCCGGCUCAACUGGGAGAGGUCAAGGGAAACUACCGGACUAGAGUGUGGUAGGGGAUACUGGAAUUCCUGGUGUAGCGGUGAAAUGCGUAGAUAUCGGAAGGAACACCAGUGGCGAAGGCGGCUCACUGGCCCGAUACUGACGCUGAGGCACGAAAGCGUGGGGGAGCAAACAGG